rnacentral:rRNA from 1 species
GAUGAACGCUAGCGGGAGGCCUAACACAUGCAAGCCGAGCGGUAUUGUUUCUUCGGAAAUGAGAGAGCGGCGUACGGGUGCGGAACACGUGUGCAACCUGCCUUUAUCUGGGGGAUAGCCUUUCGAAAGGAAGAUUAAUACUCCAUAAUAUAUUGAACGGCAUCGUUUAAUAUUGAAAGCUCCGGCGGAUAGAGAUGGGCACGCGCAAGAUUAGCUAGUUGGUGAGGUAACGGCUCACCAAGGGGAUGGUCUUUAGGGGGUCUGAGAGGGUGAUCCCGCUCACUGGUAAUGAUACGCGGACCCGACUCCUACGGGAGGCAGCAGUGAGGAAUGUUGGUCAAUGGGUGCAAGCCUGAACCAGCCAGCCCGCGUGAAGGACGACUGCCCUAUGGGUUGUAAACUUCUUUUGUAUAGGGAUAAACCUACCCUCGUGAGGGUAGCUGAAGGUACUAUACGAAUAAGCACCGGCUAACUCCGUGCCAGCAGCCGCAGUAACAC